AUACGUAGGGUGCAAGCGUUAAUCGGAAUUACUGGGCGUAAAGCGUGCGCAGGCGGAUUUGUAAGACAGUGGUGAAAUACCCGGGCCCAACCUGGGAACCGCCAUUGUGACUGUAAGGCUGGAGUGCGGGAGAGGGGGAUGGAAUUCCGCGUGUAGCAAGGAAAUGCGUAGAUAUGCGGAGGAACACCGAUGGCGAAGGCAAUCCCCUGGGCCUGCACUGACGCUCAUGCACGAAAGCGUGGGGAGCAAACAGGAUUAGAUACCCUGGUAGUCCACGCCCUAAACGAUGUCAACUGGUUGUUGGGGAUUUAUUUUCUCAGUAACGAAGCUAACGCGUGAAGUUGACCGCCUGGGGAGUACGGCCGCAAGGUUAAAACUCAAAGGAAUUGGCGGGG
rnacentral:rRNA from 1 species